AAUUUGAAAUCUGGCCCCUUCGGGGUCCGAGUUGUAAUUUGUAGAGAGUGCUUCGGGGGAGACCGCGGUCUAAGUCCAUUGGAACAUGGCGUCCCAGAGGGUGAGAAUCCCGUAUGUGACCGUGGCUCGAACCCAUGUGAAGCCUCUUCGACGAGUCGAGUUGUUUGGGAAUGCAGCUCAAAAUGGGUGGUAAAUUUCAUCUAAAGCUAAAUACGGGCUGGAGACCGAUAGCGCACAAGUAGAGUGAUCGAAAGAUGAAAAGCACUUUGGAAAGAGAGUUAAAAAGUACGUGAAAUUGUUGAAAGGGAAGCGCUGGCAACCAGACCUGCCCGUAGGCGAUCAGCCGCUGUUCUCAGCGGUGCACUCGCUCUGCGAUCAGGCCAGCAUCGGUUCCGGCGGUCGGAUAAAGGCCUUGGGAACGUACCUUCCCUUCGGGGGAGUCUUAUAGCCCUCGGUGCAAUGCGGCCAGCCGGGACCGAGGACCGCGCUUCGGCUAGGAUGCUGGCGUAAUGGUUGUC
rnacentral:rRNA from 1 species